rnacentral:misc_RNA from 1 species
UCCCGGUUAACCCGGGCAGUCUCGUUAGAGUUCCCAUCCUAAAUGUUGGCAACUAACGAUAAGGGUUGCGCUCGUUGCGGGACUUAACCCAACACCUCACGGCACGAGCUGACGACAGCCAUGCAGCACCUGUGCAGCAGUCCCGAAGGAAGACGACAUUUCUGUCGCUGUCUACUGCAUGUCAAGCCUGGGUAAGGUUCUUCGCGUUGCAUCGAAUUAAACCACAUGCUCCACUGCUUGUGCGGGUCCCCGUCAAUUCUUUUGAGUUUCAGCCUUGCGACUGUACUCCCCAGGCGGUAUACUUAACGCGUUAGCUACGGCACAGCCAGGGUUGAUUCCAGCUACACCAAGUAUACAUCGUUUACGGCAAGGACUAC